AGCGCCAGCGCCAGUCGGCUCCAGGCGCCCCCAGCAGACCUCCAUCAUGGGCAGCCUUCCCCAGCGAAGGCCAAUGGACAGGAGAAUGGCCACGUGAAAAAAGCACUGGAGACUUAAACCCCAAGGGUGAAAGGGAGUCACCACCCUUGAUGAGGCAGCUGGGCCUACUGGCGAUGUCAUCGAGCCAGCGGCCCCUAGCCAGGAAACUGAGGCCAAGCGGGAGGUCGCCCCCAAGGAGAACCCCAAGAAGAAGAAAUUCUCUUUCAAGAAGCCUUUCAAGUUGAGUGGCCUGUCCUUCAAGAGAAAUAGGAAGGAGGGUGGGAUGAUUCUUCAGCCUCCUCGCCAACAGAGGAAGAGCAGGAGCAGGGGGAUCUCAGCGCCUGCAGCGAUGAGGGCACUGCCCAAGAAGGGAAGGCCGCUGCCCCUGAGAGCCAAGAGCCCCAGGCCAAGGAGGCAAAGGCUAGUGCUGCCUCCAAGGAAGGAGACACAGAAGAGGAGGCAGGGCCCCAGGCUGCAGAGCCAUCCA
rnacentral:lncRNA from 1 species